UGCAGUCGAGCGGUUAGGCCCCUUCGGGGGUACACGAGCGGCGAACGGGUGAGUAACACGUGAGCAACCUACCCUCAACUUCGGGAUAAGCCUCGGAAACGGGGUCUAAUACCGGAUAUCACUCCUUGCCUCAUGGUGGGGGGUUGAAAGUUCUGGCGGUUGGGGAUGGGCUCGCGGCCUAUCAGCUUGUUGGUGGGGUAAUGGCCUACCAAGGCGUCGACGGGUAGCCGGCCUGAGAGGGCGACCGGCCACACUGGGACUGAGACACGGCCCAGACUCCUACGGGAGGCAGCAGUGGGGAAUAUUGCGCAAUGGACGAAAGUCUGACGCAGCAACGCCGCGUGAGGGAUGACGGCCUUCGGGUUGUAAACCUCUUUCAGCAGGGACGAAGCGAGAGUGACGGUACCUGCAGAAGAAGGACCGGCCAACUACGUGCCAGCAGCCGCGGUAAUACGUAGGGUCCGAGCGUUGUCCGGAAUUAUUGGGCGUAAAGGGCUCGUAGGCGGUUCGUCACGUCGGGAGUGAAAACUCGGAGCUCAACUCCGAGCCUGCUUCCGAUACGGGCAGACUAGAGGUAGGCAGGGGAGAGCGGAACUCCUGGUGUAGCGGUGGAAUGCGCAGAUAUCAGGAAGAACACCGGUGGCGAAGGCGGCUCUCUGGGCCUUACCUGACGCUGAGGAGCGAAAGCGUGGGUAGCGAACAGGAUUAGAUACCCUGGUAGUCCACGCCGUAAACGUUGGGCGCUAGGUGUGGGGGACAUUCCACGUCCUCCGUGCCGCAGC
rnacentral:rRNA from 1 species